rnacentral:rRNA from 1 species
AGGCCUGAGGGUUGUAAAGCACUUUCAUUUUGGAAGAAGUUGUGUAUUUAAAUAGGAUACAUGAUUGACGUUACAAGAAGAAGAAGCACCGGCAAACUCUGUGCCAGCAGCCGCGGUAAUACAGAGGGUGCGAGCGUUAAUCGGAAUUACUGGGCGUAAAGAGUGCGCAGGUUGAAAUAUAAGUCUGUUGUGAAAGGUACGAGCUUAACUUGUAGAGUGCGAUAGAAACUGUAUAACUAGAGUAUAGUAGAGGGUGUAGGAAUUUCCGGAGUAGCGGUGAAAUGCGUAGAUAUCGGAAGGAACAUCAGUGGCGAAGGCGUACACCUGGACUGAUACUGACACUGGGGCACGAAAGCGUGGGUAGCGAACAGGAUUAGAUACCCUGGUAGUCCACGCUGUAAACGAUGAGAACUAGCUGUUAGUGUCCAUAGAGGCAUUAGUGGCGCAGCAAACGCGAUAAGUUUUCCGCCUGGGGAGUACGGCCGCAAGGUUAAAACUCAAAGAAAUUGACGGGGGCCCGCACAAGCGGUGGAGCAUGUGGUUUAAUUCGAUGCAACGCGAAGAACCUUACCUACCCUUGACAUACUGGGGAGGAUAUAGAGAUAUAUUUGUGCCGAAAGGAACCUAGAUACAGGUGCUGCAUGGCUGUCGUCAGCUCGUGUCGUGAGAUGUUGGGUUAAGUCCCGUAACGAGCGCAACCCUUAUAUUUAGUUACUAAAA